UACGUAGGGUGCGAGCGUUAAUCGGAAUUACUGGGCGUAAAGCGUGCGCAGGCGGUUUGCUAAGACCGAUGUGAAAUCCCCGGGCUUAACCUGGGAACUGCAUUGGUGACUGGCAGGCUAGAGUAUGGCAGAGGGGGGUAGAAUUCCACGUGUAGCAGUGAAAUGCGUAGAGAUGUGGAGGAAUACCGAUGGCGAAGGCAGCCCCCUGGGCCAAUACUGACGCUCAUGCA
rnacentral:rRNA from 1 species